rnacentral:rRNA from 1 species
GACAGAGGUGCCAAGCGUUAGGCGGAAUCACUGGGCUUAAAGCGUGUGUAGGCGGAUGUCUAAGUACCUUGUGAAAUCCCACGGCUCAACCGUGGAACUGCUUGGUAUACUGGAUGUCUUGAGCCAUCUAGGGGCUACCGGAACAAAUGGUGGAGCGGUGAAAUGCGUAGAUAUCAUUUGGAACGCCAAUGGUGAAAAACAGGUAGCUGGGGGAUGUGCUGACGCUGAGACACGAAAGCCAGGGGAGCGAACGGG